rnacentral:rRNA from 1 species
AGAUUGAACGCUGGCGGCAGGCCUAACACAUGCAAGUCGAGCGGUAGAGAGGUGCUUGCAUCUCUUGAGAGCGGCGGACGGGUGAGUAAUGCCUAGGAAUCUGCCUAGUGGUGGGGGAUAACGUUCGGAAGCGGACGCUAAUACCGCAUACGUCCUACGGGAGAAAGGCGGGGGACCUUCGGGCCUCGCGCCAUUAGAUGAGCCUAGGUCGGAUUAGCUAGUUGGUGAGGUAAUGGCUCA